rnacentral:rRNA from 1 species
AGCGAACGCUGGCGGCAGGCCGAACACAGGCAAGGAGAACGAACGAGGCGGAGGGAGGGGAGGAAGGGGGAGGAAGAGGGGGGAACGGGCAGGGGGGGGAGGAAGAACGAAGGGAAAACGGGGGGAAGAACGAAGGGGCGCGGCGGGGGAAAGGGGGAGCGCCAUUAGAGCGGCCCGCGGCGGAUUAGCGCGUUGGUGAGGGAACGGCUCACCAGGGCGACGAUCAGUAGCUGGUCUGAGAGGAUGACCAGCCACACUGGGGCUGAGACACGGCCCAGACUCCUACGGGAGGCCGCAGUGGGGAAUCUUGCGCAAUGGGCGAAAGCCUGACGCAGCCCUGCCGCGUGACUGAUGACGGUCUUAGGCUUGUAAAAUUCUUUCACCGGGGACGAUAAUGACGGUACCCGGAGAAGAAGCCCCGGCUAACUUCGUG